UACGUAGGCAGCGAGCGUUGUUCGGAGUUACUGGGCGUAAAGGGUGUGUAGGCGGUUGUUUAAGGUUGGUGGGAAAUCUCCUGGCUCAACUGGGAGCUUGCAGGCGAAACUGCCGUGCUGGAGUGUGGGAGAGGUGCGUGGAAUUCCUGGUGUAGCGGUGAAAUGCGUAGAUAUCAGGAGGAACACCUGUGGCGAAAGCGGCGCACUGGACCACAACUGACGCUGAGGCGCGAAAGCUAGGGGAGCAAACAGG
rnacentral:rRNA from 1 species